rnacentral:rRNA from 1 species
CGAGCACGCGCGUGUGGCAUAUCAAUAAGCGGAGGAAAAGAAACUAACAAGGAUUCCCUUAGUAACGGCGAGUGAAGCGGGAAGAGCUCAAAUUUGAAAUCUUCAAGGUUCUACCUUGACGAAUUGUAGUUUACAGAAGUGUUUUCUGUUAGUGGAGUGGCAAAAGUUCUUUGGAAUAGGACAUCAUAGAGGGUGAGAAUCCCGUAUUUGGUCAUUCCUCCUAGCGUUGUGAUACACUUUCAACGAGUCGGAUUGUUUGGGAAUGCAGUCCAAAAUGGGUGGUAAAUUUCAUCUAAAGCUAAAUAUUGGCGAGAGACCGAUAGCGAACAAGUACCGUGAGGGAAAGAUGAAAAGAACUUUGAAAAGAGAGUUAAACAGUACGUGAAAUUGUCAAAAGGGAAGCGUUUGACACCAGUGUUGUUUUUCCGAAAAUCAAUUACGAAUGUUUUGUUUUUGAGGAGUUAUGACUUCAUCGGCUUGCUUCUUUCUUUACGAAACUUUCUUAAUGCACUUUUCGGUUAACAAGUCAACAUCAAUUUCUUUUGUUGUAAAAGGGUAUGAGGAAGGUGGCUUUCUUUUCGGAGAAAGUGUUUAUAGCCUUGUGCCUCUGCAAUCGGAGAGAUUGAGGUCUGCAGCGUAGAUCCUUCGGGGUUAGAUACAGUUUGUGCUAAGUUAUAGCUUUUCAUAGACAACUUGUUGACUAUGUUUAGUCUUGUAGCUUACUCGCUGAUGCUAUUUUACCUACGCUUAGGAUGUUGAUGUGAUACUGCGAGCA